UACGUAGGGUGCGAGCGUUGUCCGGAAUUAUUGGGCGUAAAGGGCUCGUAGGCGGUUUGUCGCGUCGGGAGUGAAAACACACAGCUUAACUGUGUGCUUGCUUCCGAUACGGGCAGACUAGAGGUAUGCAGGGGAGAACGGAAUUCCUGGUGUAGCGGUGAAAUGCGCAGAUAUCAGGAGGAACACCGGUGGCGAAGGCGGUUCUCUGGAACGGUACUGACGCUGAGACGCGAAAGCGUGGGGAGCGAACAGG
rnacentral:rRNA from 1 species